UCCUCCCUCUGGCGGCGUGCUUAACACAUGCAAGUCGAACGGAAAGGCCCUGCUUUUGUGGGGUGCUCGAGUGGCGAACGGGUGAGUAACACGUGAGUAACCUGCCCUUGACUUUGGGAUAACUUCAGGAAACUGGGGCUAAUACCGGAUAGGAGCUCCUGCUGCAUGGUGGGGGUUGGAAAGUUUCGGCGGUUGGGGAUGGACUCGCGGCUUAUCAGCUUGUUGGUGGGGUAGUGGCUUACCAAGGCUUUGACGGGUAGCCGGCCUGAGAGGGUGACCGGCCACAUGGGGACUGAGAUACGGCCCAGACUCCUACGGGAGGCAGCAGUGGGGAAUAUUGCACAAUGGGCGGAAGCCUGAUGCAGCAACGCCGCGUGCGGGAUGACGGCCUUCGGGUUGUAAACCGCUUUCGCCUGUGACGAAGCGUGAGUGACGGUAAUGGGUAAAGAAGCACCGGCUAACUACGUG
rnacentral:rRNA from 1 species